rnacentral:rRNA from 1 species
UACGUAGGGUCCGAGCGUUGUCCGGAAUUAUUGGGCGUAAAGGGCUCGUAGGCGGUUUGUCGCGUCGGGAGUGAAAACACGGGGCUUAACCCCGUGCCUGCUUCCGAUACGGGCAGACUAGAGGUAUGCAGGGGAGAACGGAAUUCCUGGUGUAGCGGUGAAAUGCGCAGAUAUCAGGAGGAACACCGGUGGCGAAGGAGGUUCUCUGGGCAUUACCUGACGCUGAGGAGCGAAAGUGUGGGGAGCGAACAGG